GCCCCGAAAGAUAUGUAUCCUGGCCCCAUGCAAGUUUGAUUUAGAGAUAAGCGCUGGUCUGGAGCCAGAAGGAGCUGGGUUGCUUAGCAUGAAUCCCCAGCUUUCCCUGGCCUUGAUCUCCCCCCUUUCCUUCCCAUGCCCCUCACUGCCAUUGCAACAUCACGUUGCUGCCCAGGUUCAGGAAGUACUGGCAUGUUCCUCUGGGUGACCUUUGGGUUUGGGGUCCCCAUCCUUGAUGUAUCUUGAUGAAGGCAGAGGUAUAAUUUCCUUCCUCUGUGGAAGAGGCCUUGUGGCAGUAUUAUAGCGGCAUGAUGGUUCAUCUUCAUUGUCAGCCUGGCUGGAUCCACAACACUUAGAUGAUCGAUGGGGCUCUCCUGUAGAUGUAUCCGUGAAGGUGUUUCUAGGAGAGGGGUGACUCAGAAUCAAAGAGAACAAAGAGAAAGUCCCCUCCCAUCAGUGAGCCGCUCAGCAUGCUCCUUGUCACUAGGGGCUUUCAUGCUGGGCAGUUGCUCCACCACUGAGCUAUACCAUCAACCUCAUUCCAGCCACUGUUUCCAGGGAGUCCACAUUACCACCCUUCCUGUCCAUGAAGAGAGCAGCAGGCAGCCUCCAGUGUUAAUGUAGCAUGAUCUGGUGGAGCAGCUCAGAGCCGAGGUGGGGAAAGACCAACGGCUUCCUGGAAAUGAAUCUGCUUUCUUAUGACAAGCAACCUAAGCUGAGAGAUCCAGAGUCUAGGGUGAGAACCAUGAAUGCAGUAGACAGCUGACAGAGGUACCCUUCGGUACCUGAGUGUAAGAUCAUGUUUUCUAGUUAUCUCUCAGCUAAAACCUGGCUUUUGUGAGAAACUCCUGACUAAACUUACAAAGGCCUUUGAGAGAUGAUUCCCAUCUCCGAAGUAAUUUCGUGGCAUCUUUCUCAGUUCCCCCUUUCAAUUCCCUUCUUUCCCCAGCCCUGACACAUCUGAUCCCCUAGUUAACUCUCAUUGGUUUACUGUCACUUUAAAAUCCCUCCAAUCCCACCCAUCCCCGUAUCCCACUGCCUAGAGCAAGCAAGGGUCAUCUCUCCCUGGACCACAGGUCUUCCACCCUGUCUUUUUGCUUUAUUAUUUUUACCCCUGUGGGUCCUUUACCGUGUAAUUUUGGCCUUAAAAAAAUCUCUCCAUAUCAACAGGCUCUCAGGACCUUUAUGGUUCUUGCUCGUCUUAAGGAUGAGAUCCAAAGUUUCUCAGAGCAGGCCUGGAGACCCCACCUGGUCCAGACCCGCCUAGUUUCUUUGUCUAGCAUCUCCAUGUCUGCUCACUCCUAGACCUUUCUCUUUGCUUCCUCACAGGCUCUUCCCUCUGCCUGGAAUAGCUGCUCUUCAUGUUCAGGCCUUACACAAGUAUCACUUCCUCAGAGCACAGCCCUCUGACCGCACCCCAUGGCUCCAAUGCACCCAUCUCCAGUUUGCUGUCGGUAUCGAUGGGAAAGAAAAUACCUGCACCCACGUUUUCUCCUUGCUUCUAUUCUGUACCUGGCCAUGCUCCUCUCCUUGAAGUCUAAGAAUCCCUGUGAAGGCCUGGUCAAUGUUUCCAACCACAGCCAAAGGGAGGCCAUCAGGAAGUGUGGUGUGACACCUGCAGAAUUCUCUUUUUUUCUGCCCCUCUCCUCUGAGCUACAAGAUAUAUCUUAUUGCUAUUUGGUUUGGUUUUCUUCUCCAGAUGUCUAGCUCGGCCUACCCCUGGGUCUCCAUUCUCUUCCCACAGCUGCCUUGCUGCAUGGCCUUUGUCAAGCAUCAGCUUCCACGAGGUACUGAGCUACUUCGGCUUCUAUGUGGGAUCACUUCUAAGCUCGUACCCCAGAAGGGUGCGGCCAAGGCUGCUAUGGGUUCCUCCGAAGUCCUUGCUUGGGGUCCCUCACUAGCAUUUCUUUCUCCAUACACAUGGCUUUUUGUCAGAGGGACACUGGCAGUUCCUUGUUAGUCCUUCCCCCAAGUCUGGGAGAGACCUGGUGCUGACAUGAACACUAAGGGUCCAGAGAGGCAGAAAGAACAGACCAUUUCCAGAGCACCCUCGUAUUCUCUUUGAGAAUCACAGACACGGUCAGGCUAACCAGACACUGGAAUGGGAAGGGUACUGUGGAUGGUGGUGUGGUGGGAGUCCCUUGAGAGCGGGAGGCUGGGGAGUGGCAACGAUCUAAUUGUGUCCUAGGCUCAUGGAGGUCCGGCAGAAGGAUGCUCGGAAUGUCUCUCCCUUAAAUUUCUACCCCCCCGUCCCUCUUGGGAUGCUCUGCUACAGCUCGGGUGGGUUAUACUGUAGGCCCAUCCUUCCUGCGCCACAGUCUGGGCUCCUUCCACAAGCUAGCUCAUAUUCUCCAAUUUAAUUUCUCACCUUUCUUUUUUUCACACACUCCACAUUGCUGUGACCUCAGCCAAGUUCUGUGACAGGCCACAAAGAUUCUGGUUGGCCAGGCUGUUCCACUGCCUGGAAUAACCUCACUUUCCUCCCUGGUAGGCACACGUGAGUCACACAUAGCUUCAAAACAUGGCUUAAAUGUCAAUGUGGCUUUGAACUCAUCUGCCCCUCUUCCUGACUUACCCUCCUCCCUCAUCCACAGCUCACUUUGAACUCCUGUCCACAGGGUGAAAUCUUAGGGUUGACAGUACCACCGAGCAUAUCCGUGCAUCAGUACAGUGGUAAACAAAGGCACGUUGAGCUCCCAGAGAGCAGAGGUUGUCUUUGUUCCCUGUGGAUCUCUGUUCCUGGUGUAGCUGGAGUCGGCGUGCAGAUGUUCAAAACCUACCAUCCCAGUAGGAUUGUUUGGGAUCUUUGUUUCCACCACGGAGGAACUGUGAACGCCUUGAAGCUGAUGGUGUGACAAUGAGGGCUUUUACAGAAUAGCGGGAGAUGCAAGAAUGUCACAGAGCGAACGGCAAAAUCCCUCCGUUUCUGUCUUUAGAAGAGUCACUUGUCUGUCAGAGCCAGUUACUACUGCCACCUGGUGUCCAUUUACCUCAUUUGCAGGUUGGGCUCUUAGAUUAAACGCUCUGCAGUUUUUCUUGUUGCAAUGACUAGUUUGGAAAUACUACCCCCGACUUUUACCCAUUCACAAUGGCGGAAAAAUAAAGUCAUUUUGAGGAGAUCUCUUAUUUGCCUUCCUAGUUUCUACUCCAACCUAGAGAUCACAGGACAUGGAGGUAGCUUGGGGCUGAGGAGGAACAGCCUGCUUCUGCAGCACCCUCAGGAACCACCAGGCUGUCUGCAUCUGUAGACCUGUGGACAGAGCAGAGAUGGGCCGUUUUUAGGCUGCCCACAGUGCAUCGCCCUUCUUCCCAAGGUCAUAAAACAGUUGGGUUAAGAAUGGCCAGCAGGACCCUGUAGUGCUCAGCCCAGGAUUCUAAUCAGGCAUGCCAUUGACAGAGGUCCGCAUGAAAACCCGUGCCGUGUGUACUAGAGAGCAAGUCCAGCCACCCAGUGACACUGUUUAUCUGUCCCUAUAACUUCCUUCACAACAGUGAACAAGAGAAUGAUCAGCAACUGCCAUUUUCUGGGACUUCUCCUUACUGCCACCAUUAUUCUAGAAAACAAUGGUGACUCCUUGCUCUUUGAUCUUCACAUUGGCAACUGAGACUCUUGAGUGGAGGAAUUAAGUUCCUCUCCUUAGCCAAGCCUCUGUCAGCAGCCUGGGCAGACUGUCUGGAAGGGCAGCCGACAGGAAGUCGUCGAUGUUUCUUCGGGGCUUGGAUGUGUCUUCGCCAGGAAACCGUCCUCUCCGGACUGCAGCUUUCAGCCUGGGAGCCUUCUUUCUCUCCUCAGCAGACCACAGUCAGGUGGACAUGGAAGACACCAGAUAAGCCUAGCAAAGCUGCA